UACAGAGACUGCAAGCGUUAUUCGGAUUCACUGGGCGUAAAGGGUGCGCAGGCGGUUGGGUGUGUCAGAUGUGAAAUCCCGAGGCUCAACCUCGGAACUGCGUCUGAAACUACUCGACUAGAGUACUGGAGAGGGUAACGGAAUUCACGGUGUAGCAGUGAAAUGCGUAGAUAUCGGGAAGAACACCGACGGCGAAAGCACUCUGCUGGGCCGAUACUGACACUGACAGACGAAAGCUAAGGGAGCAAAUGGG
rnacentral:rRNA from 1 species